rnacentral:rRNA from 1 species
GAUGAACGCUGGCGGCGUGCCUAAUACAUGCAAGUCGAGCGAACAGACGAGGAGCUUGCUCCUCUGACGUUAGCGGCGGACGGGUGAGUAACACGUGGAUAACCUACCUAUAAGACUGGGAUAACUUCGGGAAACCGGAGCUAAUACCGGAUAAUAUAUUGAACCGCAUGGUUCAAUAGUGAAAGACGGUUUUGCUGUCACUUAUAGAUGGAUCCGCGCCGCAUUAGCUAGUUGGUAAGGUAACGGCUUACCAAGGCAACGAUGCGUAGCCGACCUGAGAGGAUGAUCGGCCACACUGGAACUGAGACACGGUCCAGACUCCUACGGGAGGCAGCAGUAGGGAAUCUUCCGCAAUGGGCGAAAGCCUGACGGAGCAACGCCGCGUGAGUGAUGAAGGUCUUAGGAUCGUAAAACUCUGUUAUUAGGGAAGAACAAAUGUGUAAGUAACUAUGCACGUCUUGACGGUACCUAAUCAGAAAGCCACGGCUAACUACGUG